GAGAGGGAAGGUCAGGAGGGACGUGGGUUAGAGCUGCUGCUGACUGACUCAUCUGUUGUUAAGUGUGAUAAAAUGUACAGGUACCAGUUAAAUAUUUAAAUAUCUUGGUAAUUUUUGUCCUAAUUCCUUAAAUGUUAGUGAAAUGGAGGCAAAUGGUUUGUAGCUAAAACUCAAUUUACAACAAAUUUAGAAUCUAGAAAAAAUUCUUCUAGAACAGGAACAUUUAGUUUUUUAUUAUUACUUAGGAUCUGUGGAGUUCUCAUUACUUUUACACAUUCAGAGCACAUUUAGAAAGUCCAGAGAAUAUUACACUGAUCUAGCAUCCCAGAAGUCCAGAGGAUACUUACUUACACUUAUUUAGCAACCCAGAACAGAGAUUAGAACUUGGAACCCAGAAAAACUACCAUAGCAUGUGCCAACUGGUGGCAAACUGCUGUAACUAUAGUUUAAUGCAUCUCUAAAUUCAAGUAGGAGAAGUGCAGCUUAAGAGUAUAGUCUACAGUCCUUAAAUAAAGUAAGAAAAGGGGAGGGGGUGUAAUUAUUUUUAUUGUCCAUUCUGUCACAUACAUCUACACUGUGUGCACAAUUAGGCAACUUUUAGUUUUGACCAUAUCAUUUUUAUGCACAUUAUUCAACUCCUAGCAGUAAACAUGGAAUGCUUAUUGAAUAUCAGCUAAUGUGUAUUUGUUUAAUGAGGAAGGGUGGGGCCUAAGGACACCCUAUAUCAGUGUUUCUCAAUUCCGGUCCUAAGGCCCCCCUGCAUUACAUUUUUGGCCGUUUUCCCUUCUGCCACACACCUGAAUUGAAUCUGUGGGUGAUUAACAGCCUUCUGUGGUAUUUGAUGGCUGCAGAAGAAGGCAUGCAAUCAUCUGAAUCAGCUGUUCUGAAAUAGAGUUGAUCAUACUAAAACAUGUAGAGCAGGGGGUCCUGAGGACUGGAUUUGAGAAGAACAGCCCUAUAUCAAGGUGUGCAUAAUUGUUAGAAAGCUUCUUUUUCUCAAGCAAAAUGGGCCAAAAAAUAGAUUUAUGUUACUCUGAAAAGUCCAAAAUUGUAAAAAGUCUUUCAGACGGAUGCAGUACACUCUUGAGAUUGCUCAGAUAUUGGGGCAUUUUCACAGAAUCAUCAAAUGUUUUGCUGCAAAUAGUAAACAUGGUUGCAAGAACCAUGUUGAGAAAGAAAGAUGUAAAUUAGCUGCAACAAUUUUUAGAAGAAUCAGGCAUGAAGCUACCAGGAAGCCAUUACCUUCCAGUGCUACUAUAUUCCAGAACUCCAACCUUGAGCACCCAGAAGUACAAGAUGUUCAGAACAAAGAGACAUGGCCAAGGUAAGGAAGGCUGAAACCCGACCACUACUGAACAAGACAAAUAAGUUGAAACAUCAAGACGGGCCACAAAAUAUCUGAAGGCAGAUUUUUCAAAGGUUUUAUGGACUGAUGAUAUGAGAGUGACUCUUGACGGCCCUGUAGCUGGAUCAGUAAUGGUCACACAGCUCCACCUUGCAUCAGACACCAGCAAGGUGGAGGUAGGGUACUAAUAUUGGCUGGUAUUAUCAAACAUGAGCUAGUUGGACAAUUUUGGUCUGAAGAUGGACUCAAAAUCAACUCCCAAACCUACUGCCAGUUUUUAGAAGACAGUUUCUUCAUGUAGUGGUGCAGGAAUAAGUUUGCAUCUUUCAAGAAGACCAUGAUUUUUAUGCAGGACAAUGCUCCAUUGCAUGCAUCAAAGUACUCCGUUAUGUGUCUAGCCAGUAAAGGCCUUAAAGAUGAAAGAAUAAUGAGGUGGUCCCCUUCCUCACCAGACAUAAACCCCAUUGACAAUAAUUUCAUAUAUCCAUGUUUGGGUGUUGAUGAUGAUGACCUACUGCUUCUUAGCUCCAUGUCAGAUUAACGGUGGACACAUUUCCACAAUCCACUGUGAAAUACCUGGUAAAGCCAGUCUGGUCCAUCAGGACUUGGUUCCUGUGUGCAUUGUGAGAGCAGUUCAGCAGGGAAGGAAAGCUUCAUGAUGUGGUUGGUGAGAUUUGCAGGAACUCAACCAAACUGAGCUGAUGUGGACCAUCAGAGGUUCUUCUAGUUUGUAGAUCAUCUUAUUCUUUCUGACUUUAAAUUGUGUUCAUGUGAUGCUCUGUUUUUCUAUUAAGGACUUUUGAUGUGAAAUCUUGGUGAUUUCAUCUGUGAAUACUGCUGGAUGAAUAUUUCCUGACUUCCUAAUUGCUCCUGGUUCCUCCACAGAGUGGACCAGCAGAGCUCAGAGGUUCCCAGUGGUCAGUCUGUCCAGCAGAAUCAAACACAGCUGGACUCCAUAUUUAUGCUGCUGGAGGACAACAUUGUCACUUUUGUGAAGAAAGAACUGAAG